rnacentral:rRNA from 1 species
UGUGUAGGUGGCUGAGCAAGUCAAAAAUGAAAUCCCGAGGCUCAACCUCGGAAUUGUUUUUGAAACUGUUCAGCUUGAGGAUAGUCGAGGAGAACGGAAUUCCCGGUGGAGCGGUGAAAUGCGUUGAUAUCGGGAGGAACACCAGAGGCGAAGGCGGUUCUCUGGGCUAUUCCUGACACUGAGACACGAAAGCUAGGGGAGCAAACG